AUUUAGGAAAUGUUUACUAAACUCAAUUCGUCAUUUGAAGCCUUAACCUGACCCAGAUGAAUCUGAUAUUCUUUUCUUCUCUGUCAGUGUGUUGGCCUUUUCCUGAUGGCUGGCAGUGAUACAGUCUGAGGUUCUUCCCUGGAGGUGCCCAGACCCCUUACUGAAGAGGAGGCAUUGGGAUUUUUCAUGAUCGCAUGCAUCAGGUAGGGUUCUUUGCAGGUACCCAAAAAGGACUCUGGCUAAGUUAAGCAAGAAGGGAAUUUAUUGGAAGGAAACAGACUAGCUCACAGAUUCCAAGGACCUCCUGAGAAACCUCACAUGAAAAGGGGACCAGGGAUCCAGAGAGCAGGGAUUGAUCUCACCACAUCUCGCUGGGCUAAACCAGCUCCACCUUUGAUUCUGUUCUUAUAUCUCUCCCUUUAGGAUUCAACUCUUGAGUCUUAUUGGCCUAGCUUGGACCUUGUGCCUCUCCUCUGGCUAAGAAUUCGGGGAAAAACUAGCCACUAUAGGGGAGAGGUAAUUUUCCAAAAGCAAAUCAAACUGCUUUUGCCAUAAGAGGGAGGAAGUGAAUGCUGAAUGUCUAAAAAGCCCCCCAGCGCACUACAGUAUGUAAAUCACAUGUUUAGCCUCCUGGGAGGGGCCUCUGGCUCUCUGGCUUUGCUUUUUUCCAACUCAGAAACAAGACAGUAUUUUCUCCCAUCUCCUUUUUCUAUCUCAUCUACAGAGCAUUAGUAAGCAAUGUACAUUUAGCUGAAGAUUUUGUGGGGAGAGGGUGAAAAGGGUUGAUGUUGAACAUCACAGCAAAAGUGACCCCUCACUGGAGAGCAGGGACUGUCUGUCCGGUUCCCCAUGUCAUCCCCAAUACCUAGCUCAAAGCUUGGCACACAUUGGCUUUUUGAGAUAAAUAUUUGUCAAUUCUUUUUAGCUAUCAACUGGCUUCCUCCCUUUCUCUCCAUCUUCCCCCACGUGGCCUUUCCAAUCCCCUUUAAUGUCUUGGUCGAUUUAAUUCUGGCCCCAAAUCUCUACAUUCAGCAAAACAAAAGCCUUGCAGUUAAUCAGACCUACCCACCUUAGAAAGCCUCAUCAAAGAUAUUCACUGGAUACAAAGCAAGACUCUAAGUCAGGGAAGCAGGUGAUUCUGCUAAAAAAAAAAAAAAUUCUAGCAUUCUCCCUGUAGUGGGUUAAAUGGGGGGUGCCAAAUGAUAUGUACAUGUCCUAAUCCCAGAAACUAUAAAUGUGACUCUUUGGAAAAAAGGAUCUUUGCAGAUGUAGUUAAGGAUCUUGAGAUGAAGAGGUCAUCCUGGAUUAUCUGGUGGACUCUGAAUCCAGUGACAAGUGUCCUCUUAGAGACAUGCGGAAGCUUAGACAGAAGAUAAGAAAACGCAGACACACAGAGGCAGAGAUUAGAGUGAUGGAGACACUAGCCAAGCAAACCAAGGAACUCCUGGAGUCACCGGAAGCUGGAAGAGGCAAAGAACAGAAUCUUCCCAACAACUUUUGGAGGAAGUGUGGUCCUGCUGACACCUUGAUCUCAGACUUUUGGCCUCCAGAACUCUAAGAGAAUAAAUUUCUAUUGUUUUA